rnacentral:rRNA from 1 species
UCGAGAAUCAUUCGCAAUGGGCGAAAGCCUGACGAUGCGACGCCGUGUGAGCGAAGAAGGCCUUCGGGUUGUAAAGCUCUUUCGCUUGGGAACAAGAGAGGUUGGAUAACACCCAGCCAAUUUGAGUGUACCAGGUAAAGAAGCACCGGCUAACUCCGUGCCAGCAGCUGCGGUAAUACGGAGGGUGCAAGCAUUAAUCGGAAUUAUUGGGCGUAAAGGGCGCGUAGGCGGAGAUGUAAGUCAGAUGUGAAAUCCCGGGGCUCAACCUCGGAACAGCAUUUGAAACUGCAUCCCUUGAGGGUAGGCGGAGAAAACGGAAUUCCACAAGUAGCGGUGAAAUGCGUAGAUAUGUGGAAGAACACCGGUGGCGAAAGCGGUUUUCUAGCUUAUUCCUGACGCUGAGGCGCGAAAGCAAGGGGAUCAAACAGGAUUAGAUACCCCCGUAGUCCCUGAGCGGGCUGGCAAGGCGCAU